rnacentral:rRNA from 1 species
AAUAAGCGGAGGAAAAGAAACCAACAGGGAUUGCCCUAGUAACGGCGAGUGAAGCGGCAACAGCUCAAAUUUGAAAUCUGGCUCUCUUUGGGGGUCCGAGUUGUAAUUUGCAGAGGAUGCUUUGGCAUUGGCGGCGGUCUAAGUUCCUUGGAACAGGACAUCGCAGAGGGUGAGAAUCCCGUACGUGGGCGCCUGCCUUUGCCGUGUAAAGCUCCUUCGACGAGUCGAGUUGUUUGGGAAUGCAGCUCUAAAUGGGAGGUAAAUUUCUUCUAAAGCUAAAUACCGGCCAGAGACCGAUAGCGCACAAGUAGAGUGAUCGAAAGAUGAAAAGUACUUUGGAAAGAGAGUCAAAAAGCACGUGAAAUUGUUGAAAGGGAAGCGCUUGCAGCCAGACUUGCCCGCAGUUGCUCACCUAGGCUUUGGCCUGGGGCACUCUUCUGCGGGCAGGCCAGCAUCAGUUUGGGCGGUCGGAUAAAGGCCUCUGUCACGUAUCUUCCUUCGGGAUGACCUUAUAGGGGAGGCGUAAUGCGACCAGCCCGGACUGAGGUCCGCGCAUCUGCUAGGAUGCUGGCGUAAUGGCUGUAAGCGGCCCGUCUUGAAACACGGACCAAGGAGUCUAACAUCUAUGCGAGUGUUUGGGUGUCAAGCCCGGGCGCGUAAUGAAAGUGAACGGAGGUGGGAACCCUUUGGGUGCACCAUCGACCGAUCCUGAUGUCUUCGGAUGGAUUUGAGUAAGAGCAUAGCUGUUGGGACCCGAAAGAUGGUGAACUAUGCUUGAAUAGGGUGAAGCCAGAGGAAACUCUGGUGGAGGCUCGCAGCGGUUCUGACGUGCAAAUCGAUCGUCAAAUUUGGGCAUAGGGGCGAAAGACUAAUCGAACCAUCUAGUAGCUGGUUCCUGCGA